rnacentral:tRNA from 1 species
AGUGUCAAGGGAUGGGUAUCGAACCCACGACCUUCCGCUUACCGGGCAGAUGCCAUGACCACUAGGCCACAUGACC